rnacentral:lncRNA from 1 species
CAAGCCUUGAUAUUACAGUACAAGUGCUUACAUUUACUUUUUAAGAUUAAAAAUUGGCAAAUAAUUGCCUUGAGAUGCAGAGCCCCAAAUGAAACAAGCUCUGUAGGACUGAUUUUACUAAAUGCGAGGUAAGCAAUGAUGUAAUUUUAAGGACGUUGAUGAGUGUAAUAAAGCAAUCUAAUCCUGAAGGGGUUGGGGGCUGCUUGUGUUUUUUUUUUUAAUUAUGUUUGUUUGUUUGUUUGUUUGUUUGUUUGUUUGUUUGUUUUCCAGAAAUCCCUAAGACAGAAGCUUUGCUGCUGUUCAGAAGCAUUUUCCCUGAGAACACAUCAGAUUGCCUAGCAUGGACAUGAAUAAUUGAAGAACACCAUCACGGCAGCAGUCCUCCCAAGGGGCUUUUCCAACACCUUGUUAUUAGCUGAUAUGCUGCCUAGACAACCUCAUGGGAGCCCAGACUGCGAUCCCCUACUAUGUCAAAGGGAAGGAAGCAAGCAUGACAGGGCAUGACUAGGAGCUGAAAGAGAGUGAUUCCAUAUGAAAGCCAGGAGAGCAUCAUCUGAGGGUAGACAGAGCGAGAAAGUCUGUGUGGAUCCUCUACUCCAGGACAUGCUUGUGUUGGCCUGCAGAGGACAGAGAAGCAACUCAUAUCACUCAUCAGAAAUUCCUGCCAAGCUCUAUACAUCUGACAGCUGUGAAGAGAAUCAUCAGAGAAGGAGGUUGGAUUGCACGGGCAGACACACUUUCUGGCAUCACAAAGAGGGCACUCGGCCAUCUGGACCUGCUCUACAUCAAGCACAACUCUGA